rnacentral:snoRNA from 1 species
GCGAUGGAUGAUCUGUUUUUAACCCUGAAUCAUGCCUGUGGAACCAAAACAAGCAACAACAUACACUCUAAUUUUUUACUGACG